AGUGAACGCUGGCGGUAGGCCUAACACAUGCAAGUCGAACGGCAGCACAGUAAGAGCUUGCUCUUACGGGUGGCGAGUGGCGGACGGGUGAGGAAUACAUCGGAAUCUACUUUUUCGUGGAGGAUAACGUAGGGAAACUUACGCUAAUACCGCAUACGACCUACGGGUGAAAGCAGGGGAUCUUCGGACCUUGCGCGAUUGAAUGAGCCGAUGUCGGAUUAGCUAGUUGGCGGGGUAAAGGCCCACCAAGGCGACGAUCCGUAGCUGGUCUGAGAGGAUGAUCAGCCACACUGGAACUGAGACACGGUCCAGACUCCUACGGGAGGCAGCAGUGGGGAAUAUUGGACAAUGGGCGCAAGCCUGAUCCAGCCAUACCGCGUGGGUGAAGAAGGCCUUCGGGUUGUAAAGCCCUUUUGUUGGGAAAGAAAAGCAGCAGGUUAAUACCCCGCUGUUCUGACGGUACCCAAAGAAUAAGCACCGGCUAACUUCGUA
rnacentral:rRNA from 1 species